ACGGGAGGCAGCAGUGGGGAAUAUUGCACAAUGGGGGAAACCCUGAUGCAGCGACGCCGCGUGAGUGAAGAAGUUAUUCGUAAUGUAAAGCUCUAUCAGCAGGGAAGAAAAUGACGGUACCUGACUAAGAAGCCCCGGCUAACUACGUGCCAGCAGCCGCGGUAAUACGUAGGGGGCAAGCGUUAUCCGGAUUUACUGGGUGUAAAGGGAGCGUAGACGGCUUAGCAAGUCUGAUGUGAAAGGCAGGGGCUCAACUCCUGGACUGCAUUUGGAACUGUCAAGCUAGAGUAUCGGAGAGGUAAGUGGAAUUCCUAGUGUAGCGGUGAGAUGCGUAGAUAUUAGGAGGAACACCAGUGGCGAAGGCGGCUUGCUGGACGAUAACUGACGUUGAGGCUCGAAAGCGUGGGGAGCAAACAGGAUUAGAUACCCUGGUA
rnacentral:rRNA from 1 species